rnacentral:tRNA from 1 species
CAGAGAGUAGUUUAUAUAAAAAUAUUAAUUUUGGAGAUUAAUGAUGAGAUUUCUCUUCUCUGA